CAGGUAGGGAUACCCGCUGAACUUAAGCAUAUCAAUAAGCGGAGGAAAAGAAACCAACAGGGAUUGCCUUAGUAACUGCGAGUGAAGCGGCAAAAGCUCAAAUUUGAAAUCUGGUACCUUCGGUGCCCGAAUUGUAAUUUGGAGGCAUAUCUUCGGAGCUGGUGCUGUCCUAAGUUCCUUGGAACAGGACGUCAUAGAGGGUGAGAAUCCCGUGCCUGGAUGGCUGACCAGCUCCAUGUGAAGUGUGUCCUACGAGUCGAGUUGU
rnacentral:rRNA from 1 species